ACUACGGGGGGCAGCAGUGGGGAAUAUUGGGCAAUGGGCGCAAGCCUGACCCAGCAACGCCGCGUGAAGGAAGAAGGCUUUCGGGUUGUAAACUUCUUUUAAGAGGGAAGAGCAGAAGACGGUACCUCUUGAAUAAGCCACGGCUAACUACGUGCCAGCAGCCGCGGUAAUACGUAGGUGGCAAGCGUUGUCCGGAUUUACUGGGUGUAAAGGGCGUGCAGCCGGGAGUGCAAGUCAGAUGUGAAAACCACGGGCUCAACCUGUGGCCUGCAUUUGAAACUGUAGUUCUUGAGUGCUGGAGAGGG
rnacentral:rRNA from 1 species